CCUACGGGUGGCAGCAGUGGGGAAUAUUGCACAAUGGGGGAAACCCUGAUGCAGCCACGUCGCGUGAGUGAGGAAGUAUUUCGGUAUGUAAAGCUCUAUCAGCAGGGAAUCGAAAAGCAGGUCCCUGAAAAAGAAGCCCCGGCCAACUACGGGCCAGCAGCCGCGGUAAUACGUCGGGGGCAGGCGUUAUCCGGAUUUACUGGGUGUAAAGGGAGGGUAGACGGGAAGGCAAGUCAGAAGUGAAAACCCAAGGCUCAACCAUGGGACUGCUUUUGAAACUGUCAAACUAGAGUACGGGAGAGGUAAGAGGAAUGCCUGGUGUAGCGGUGAAAUGCAUAGAUAUUAGGAGGAACACCGGUGGCGAAGGCGGCUUACUGGAGCGAAACUGACGUUGAGGCACGAAAGCGUGGGGAGCGAACAAGAUUAGAUACCCGUGUAGUC
rnacentral:rRNA from 1 species